rnacentral:misc_RNA from 1 species
CCACCCAGGACUACUGCUGUUGGCAACCCAGCUAAAUUGGUUGGAGGAACGCAGAACCCGACUAAGCUUGACAAGAUUCCUAGUUUUACCAUGGAUCACACUUCACACAUAGCAGAGUGGUCUGAUUAUGUCGUAUAGGGGGCUUUUUCUUAGGUAGAAAUUAGAAAAUUUGAUUAGCAUUUUGGGGUUGGAAAAUAUUCCUGCUAUUGUGAUUGGGAACGUUUGCUCACUAGCAAACAGAGCAGGCUUUGU